rnacentral:rRNA from 1 species
GACGAACGCUGGCGGCGUGCUUAACACAUGCUAGUCGAACGGAAAUGCCCUGCUUUUGUUGGUUCUUCGAGUGUCGAACGGGUGAGUAACACGUGAGUAACCUGCCCUCUACUUUGGGACAUCUUCAGGAAACUGUGUCUAAUACCGGAUAAGAGCUCCUGCUCCAUGGUGGGGGUUGAAACGAUUCGGUGGUUGGGGAUGGACUCGCGGUUUAUCAGCUUGUUGGUGGGUUAGUGGCUUACCAAGGCUUUGACGGGUAGCUGGACUGAGAGGGUAACGGGCUUCACUGGUACAGAGCCACGGACGAGACUCCUACGGGCGGCAGCAGUGGGGACAAUUCCCUACUGGGCGGAAGCAAUACGCAGCAUCGCCGCGUGUGGGAUGACGGCCUUCGGCUUGUAACCCGCUUUCGAAUGUGACGAAGCGUCAGUAGCGGUACUGGGUAAAGAAGGCCCGGCUAACUACGUG